GGAGAGAUGGCUGAGUGGACUAAAGCAGCAGAUUACUAACUUGUAGCGAGGGUUCGAAUCCCUCUCUUUCUG